rnacentral:rRNA from 1 species
UAGGGAAUCUUCCACAAUGGGCGAAAGCCUGAUGGAGCAACGCCGCGUGUGUGAUGAAGGGUUUCGGCUCGUAAAGCUCUGUUGUUAAAGAAGAACGUGGGUAAGAGUAACUGUUUACCCAGUGACGGUAUUUAACCAGAAAGCCACGGCUAACUACGUGCCGA